rnacentral:rRNA from 1 species
ACGAACGCUGGCGGCAUGCCUAACACAUGCAAGUCGCACGAGACCUUCGGGUCUAGUGGCGCACGGGUGCGUAACGCGUGGGAACCUGCCCUUAGGUUCGGAAUAACUCCCCGAAAGGGGUGCUAAUACCGGAUAAUGUCUUCGGACCAAAGAUUUAUCGCCUUUGGAUGGGCCCGCGUUGGAUUAGCUAGUUGGUAGGGUAAAAGCCUGCCAAGGCGACGAUCCAUAGCUGGUCUGAGAGGAUGAUCAGCCACACUGGGACUGAGACACGGCCCAGACUCCUACGGGAGGCAGCAGUGGGGAAUAUUGGACAAUGGGCGAAAGCCUGAUCCAGCAAUGCCGCGUGAGUGAUGAAGGCCUUAGGGUUGUAAAGCUCUUUUACCCGGGAUGAUAAUGACAGUACCGGGAGAAUAAGCUCCGGCUAACUCCGUG